rnacentral:rRNA from 1 species
UACGAGGGGGCAAGCGUUGUUCGGAAUUAUUGGGCGUAAAGGGUGCGUAGGCGGUUUGUCGCGUCUGCCGUGAAAGUCCGGGGCUCAACCCGCGAUCUGCGGUGGGUACGGGCAGACUAGAGUGAUGUAGGGGAGACUGGAAUUCCUGGUGUAGCGGUGAAAUGCGCAGAUAUCAGGAGGAACACCGAUGGCGAAGGCAGGUCUCUGGGCAUUAACUGACGCUGAGGAGCGAAAGCAUGGGGAGCGAACAGG